UGGUGGCUGAACUGAAUACUUUGUUUUGGUUUUUUCUUGAUGUAUGUGGGGCUGGAUUUUAACCGCGUGUAUGAUAUAUGUGUGCAGGCACGUUCAGAACUGAGAUGGUUCCUUCUGAGUCAUGUUGCAGGGCUGAUUGAAUGGUUUAUGGAGGGUUGUACAAUGCGAACACGAUAGCAGGUGAGUGAUUUCGGAAUGAUGAGCUGAAUGGUGCGAACUUAAACUGCCUGUUCGGGAUAUGUAGGUUAUGGCAUUGGUGUGAAAUUGUAUGGCUUUUGUAGGAUGUAAGUGGUGCUGUUUGAAGGUUGAAUGGUAUGUGACCAUGACUUUGCAUUUAGUUUGUUAGGCCGAGAUACUGACAGUAUUUUUGAUGUGUUUCUAGUGUUUACAAGCAGCAUGAAGAAGAAUUGGGAUGAAAAGGCUUUGGAAAGAAAUAGGUUGAAGACAUGGUGACAGCAACAGCUUGCAUAUGGUAUGAAGUUUAUGCCAUUUUUUUUGGCAGUGCAUGGAGCAACAUGAAUGUGAAGUGGAAGAAGAUGAGAUUAGAAUAAAUGAAGGGAAAUAGAUCCCUUAGGAAGCCAACAGCUGCUAUUUUGUACAUUUUCUUGUAAAUCUUCCAUUUCCAUGUAAUGACCUUGUAUUGAGAUGGAUCCGGUAUUGAUUUUGAAAUAACAUAUGACAAGCUUUGACUUUGAAUUCUAAA